rnacentral:rRNA from 1 species
AGGCGGGCUGGACACCCUCCAGCCGGGCACUGCUUCACGGCGUGCGCGGCUGGAGCCGGCCCUGCUGAAUUAUUCACCCGUGUCUUUUGCGUACUUCUUGUUUCCUGGGUGGGCUCGCCCGCCAUCAGGACCAACCAUAAACCUUUUUGUAAUAGCAAUCAGCGUCAGUAACAACGUAAUUAAUUACAACUUUCAACAACGGAUCUCUUGGUUCUGGCAUCGAUGAAGAACGCAGCGAAAUGCGAUACGUAGUGUGAAUUGCAGAAUUCAGUGAAUCAUCGAAUCUUUGAACGCACAUUGCGCCCUUUGGUAUUCCAAAGGGCAUGCCUGUUCGAGCGUCAUUUGUACCCUCAAGCUUUGCUUGGUGUUGGGCGUCUUUUGUCUCCAGCUCGCUGGAGACUCGCCUUAAAGUCAUUGGCAGCCGGCCUACUGGUUUCGGAGCGCAGCACAAGUCGCGCUCUUGCCCAGCCAAGGUCAGCGUCCAGCAAGCCUUUUUUCAACCUUUGACCUCGGAUCAGGUAGGGAUACCCGCUGAACUUAAGCAUA